rnacentral:rRNA from 1 species
CAAUAGCGUAUAUUAAAGUUGUUGCAGUUAAAAAGCUCGUAGUUGGAUUUCUGGUGGGAGCGAUCGGUCUGGCGCUUAGCGCGAGUACUUGCAUCGUCUCCGGCCAUCCUUGGGGAGAGUCUGUCUGGCAUUAAGUUGUCGGGCAGAGGAUCCUCAUCGUUUACUGUGAAAAAAUUAGAGUGUUCAAAGCAGGCUUAUGCCGUUGAAUAUAUUAGCAUGGAAUAAUAAGAUAGGACUUGGGUACUAUUUUGUUGGUUUGCGCACCAAAGUAAUGAUUAAUAGGGACAGUUGGGGGUAUUCGUAUUCCGUUGUCAGAGGUGAAAUUCUUGGAUUUACGGAAGACGAACUACUGCGAAAGCAUUUACCAAGGAUGUUUUCAUUAA